GGACGGGCCCGCCCGGCCCUUCCUCUUAACUCCUUCGGGCCCGGCCGGGCGGCGGCAGCGGCGACCUCCGGUUUCCCCCGCGGUGGCCGCCCGGGGAGAUACAAUCAUCUCAUUAAGUUUGAGUAGCAAGUAUUUAACCUCAAAUGAAGCCGCCUGCCUGCAGUGGAACAGAUGUAUGGUGUAAAAGAAUCUCCGUUUCCCAAUCAAGAUGAACAGAAUGGCUUUCUUCAACAAGAAAAUAGAACAUCCAUUUUUUAGGAUUAUAUCUACAACAUGAAUCAUUUAGCAGUAGCUGUCUUUGAGAACAUUCAUAUAUGACCUGAAAUGUCC